rnacentral:rRNA from 1 species
AUUGAACGCUGGCGGCAGGCCUAACACAUGCAAGUCGAGCGGAGCGGCGGACGGGUGAGUAAUGCCUAGGAAUCUGCCUGGUAGUGGGGGGUAACGUCCGGCUACGGGCGCUAAUUCCGCAUACUCUCUGACGCGCCUAGGCCGGAUUAGCUAGUUGGUGGGGUAAAGGCCUACCAAGGCGACGAUCCGUAACUGGGCUGAGAGGAUGAUCAGUCACACUGGAACGGAGACACGGUCCAGACUCCUACGGGAGGAAGCAGUGGGGAAUAUGGGACAAUGGGCGAAAGCCUGAUCCAGCCAUGCCGCGUGUGUGAAGAAGGUCUUAGGAUUGUAAAGCACUUUAAGUUGGGAGGCGUUACCAACAGAAUAAGCACCGGCUAACUUCGUGCCAGCAGCCGCGGUAAUAC